rnacentral:misc_RNA from 1 species
GUGAAUCAUCGAAUUUUUGAACGCAAAUUGCGCCUUUGUCUAAAGGCAUGUCUGUUUGAGUUCACCAUUUAACAAAUAAUGUUCAGCGUUUUUUUUUGCACACGUGGAUUAUCUUUCCAAAAGUUGUAAGUUUUUGGUGGCGCAUAAUGAACAUCGUUAUAGGGUUUUUCAGUUCGAAUGGAGUAAAAUCUUUACUUGGAU